AUGCCUACAAGAGUCUCGGUGGUCCAAAAGAUCUUCAAAAACUUCGCUAGGAAGGCCCAAAAUCAAUUUGAAGUGAAGAUCAAGAAGGUUCGAAGCAACAACGGAACGGAGUUCAAGAACGCAAAUGUGGAUACCUUUCUUGACGAAGAGGGGAUUUCACACGAGUUCUCGUCUACGUACACACCUCAACAAAAUGGAGUUGUUGAGAGGAAGAACCGGACUCUUAUUGAGAUGGCAAGAACGAUGCUUAAUGAGUACAAGACUCCAAAACACUUUUGGGCGGAAGCAUUUGAGACAGCUUGUCAUGCAACAAAUCGCUUAUAUCUUCACAAGCUAUUCGGCAAGACGGCAUACGAGCUCCUCACCGGAGACAAAGACCCUUCGGAAGCAAUCCAAGACUUGUCCAUUUGCAAGAUUCGUCCAACGGAGGUGAAGGAGAGCACCUCGUCCAUCCAAAUGGAAGCUUCCACCUCACGACAAGGUGAACCAAGAAUUGAUACGGAAGCAUCCACAAGUGGGACACACCAAGACGAAGAAAACGAGGAAGCACACCAAGAUGAACAUCAACAACCUCCUUCUCCACCACGACAAGAGAAUGACAACGUCAACAAUGAAGAAGGCCAAGAAGAAGAACAAGAUGAAGAAGAUGUUCCACCCCGAGCCAAGCAAAAGCUCCCACGAGUUCGAUCAAGAGUCACCAAAGACCAUCCCGUCGAGCAAAUCUACAAUGAUAUCCAAACUGGGAGAAUCACUCGCUCUAAAACUCGUUUGGCUAACUUUUGUGAAUAUUAUUCAUUCAUCUCUAGCAUUGAACCUAUGAAGGUUGAAGAAGCAUUGGAAGAUCCGGAUUGGAUAAACGCUAUGCAUGAAGAGCUACACAACUUUGAGAGAAAUCAAGUUUGGACAUUGGUUGAGAAGCCCAACAACAACCACAACAUCAUCGGUACCAAAUGGGUGUUUCGCAACAAGCAAGAUGAAGAUGGACAAGUAGUUCGCAACAAAGCACGUCUCGUCGCCCAAGGCUACACUCAAGUCGAAGGUAUGGACUAUGGUGAGACAUAUGCCCCCAUUGCUAGACUUGAGUCCAUUCGCAUCUUACUUGCUUAUGCUAAUCACCAUGAUAUCACCUUGUACCAAAUGGACAUUAAAAGUGCGUUUCUAAAUGGUGAAAUUGAGGAGGAAGUUUAUGUUAAGCAACCUCCCGCCUUUAUCAAUCCUAAGAAACCUAAUCAUGUUUACAAACUUCACAAAGCUCUUUAUGGUCUUAAACAAGCUCCUAGAGCGUGGUAUAAAUGCUUGACCAAGUUCCUUAUUGAAAAAGGCUUUGAAAUUGGAAAAAUAGAUUCUACUCUUUUUACUAAAAGGGUUAAUGGAGAACUAUUUGUGUGCCAAAUCUAUGUUGAUGAUAUUAUAUUUGGUUCGACUAACCCUCACUUUAGAGAGAAGUUUGGAAAGCUAAUGUCGAAGAAGUUUGAGAUGUCUAUGAUGAGUGAACUCAAAUUCUUUCUCGGUUUGCAAAUCAAGCAAACUAAGGAAGGUACCUUUGUCUCUCAAACAAAGUACACCAAGGACUUAUUCAAGAAGUUCAAUAUGUAA
rnacentral:rRNA from 1 species